CCUUCUGCCGACUUAUACGCUUCCGCCUCAAUGAUUCCCCUUUCUCUCAUUCAUUCGUUCUUUUCAAGAUCCGCCUCCGCCAGGCACUUUAGGGUUUAGGUUUUUUCCGAUCUUAUCAUUAACGGUGAGUGAAGAUCCGUUAGAAUAGCUUGGAUUCGCGAACAAGGAAGAAUAGCUACACAUACUGCAAGCUUGGUCAUAUGAGUGACAUACACUUAAUGCUCAGAAGAAUCUUGAACAACAAAUAAAAGAGCGUGAUGAGAAAAACUCAGAACUUGAUUCCAAGUUGAACAGGCUUCACAAGUGAGCAAAACAGAGAAUUCAAGAGGUUCAAAAGCUAUACGGUCAAGUUGAAGAUCAUUUCCCUUUGGAGGAAAAUGAUGCACGGCCGUCUGACUGAAACUUAUCGUGUAGACAUGAUAUGUAUGGAUGAAGAGGGUCACCAGAUUCACGGUAGCUGUAUGCAUAGGAUUUUGCCAAGGCUUCAGGACCACUUCAAGCUGGAUGAAUGUCUUCUGAUUACCAGACCAUCGCUUGCACCCAACAAUUCAACCUACAACUGCACCAAAAAUAAUCAGAAGUUAACUUUCAGUUUUUUCACCCAGAUUCAAAAAAGUCAAGAUUGGAACGGGCCUAAGUUUACGUUUCAGUAUUUCAACAUUUUUGUCUUAAAG